rnacentral:rRNA from 1 species
UUAAUUGAAGAGUUUGAUCAUGGCUCAGAUUGAACGCUGGCGGCAGGCCUAACACAUGCAAGUCGAGCGGUAACAGAUUGAUAGCUUGCUAUCAAUGCUGACGAGCGGCGGACGGGUGAGUAAUGCCUGGGAAUAUGCCCUGAUGUGGGGGAUAACUAUUGGAAACGAUAGCUAAUACCGCAUAAUCUCUUCGGAGCAAAGAGGGGGACCUUCGGGCCUCUCGCGUCAGGAUUAGCCCAGGUGGGAUUAGCUUGUUGGUGGGGUAAUGGCUCACCAAGGCAACGAUCCCUAGCUGGUCUGAGAGGAUGAUCAGCCACACUGGAACUGAGACACGGUCCAGACUCCUACGGGAGGCAGCAGUGGGGAAUAUUGCACAAUGGGGGAAACCCUGAUGCAGCCAUGCCGCGUGUAUGAAGAAGGCCUUCGGGUUGUAAAGUACUUUCAGUUGUGAGGAAGGCGUUGAUGUUAAUAGCUUCAACGUUUGACGUUAGCAACAGAAGAAGCACCGGCUAACUCCGUGCCAGCAGCCGCGGUAAUACGGAGGGUGCGAGCGUUAAUCGGAAUUACUGGGCGUAAAGCGCAUGCAGGUGGUCUGUUAAGCAAGA